rnacentral:lncRNA from 1 species
UCUUGGGAUGUGGAGAAAAUUAAUUAGGACACCCAAACAAUUUCACAAAAGACUUAGUAAAUAGAAAUUAACUAUUUUGUGGACUUUCUAUAAUUUUUUUUUGGGUAUUGAAUAAUAAAUAAAAUACCAUUACUUUAAUUAGUAAUGGCAUUACAUAAUUGCACAUAUUGAAUUAAAGAAGUAGGGAAAAAAAACAAAAGUAAAGAAACUAAUUUUAUGUUUUUGAAAUUCUUUUAUAAAAACAAAAUCUUAUCCAUUUUAAAAUAAUCUUUUAAAAACAGUAUAGCCGAGCGGCUAUACUAUUUAUACAUUAAAAAAGGAUGCGCCAAUGCAUAGGUGCCAAGUGUCAAACAAGUACAGCCGAGCGGCUAUACUAUUUCUUUAUUUUUUUAAAAACAGAAAAGCCGAGUAUAGCCGCCCGGCGAUACUAUUUGUUCUCCCACAAAAAAAAAAGAUCUAGUACAGCCGGCUGGCUAUACUAUUCCCUGCGCCUGUGCGCCACGUUUCAAACCAGUACAGCCGACCGGCUGUACUAUUUUUAGUAUAGCCGCACGGCUUUACUAUCUUUAAAGGCAAUUAAGUGAAAACUGUGUAUAGCUCCCCGGCUAUACCCUUCUUAAAAUAUAAAUAUACAUAUAUAUUCUUUUUAUUCAAUAAUACGUGAGAAUUUUGUGUGUCUUAUUGAAAUUUGGUAAAAAAUAGGUUUAUUGAACAUGAGAAAUACGUGUAUAAUACAUUAUUAAACGUGAAGGUCCUAGAAUCUUUAUGCUGGUAAUAACUCUAAAAAAUAAAAAAAUAAAAAAGGGACAAUAGGUACUCGGGUAAUGGCCUAAUAGUAAUGGAUAGGGCUCUUGGGCUAUGGAGAAA